rnacentral:lncRNA from 1 species
GAGAAUAAAUAGACUAGGUUGAAUCCAUACGAUGGAAUGUUAGCAGACAAUAAAAAGAAAAUGAACUAUUGAUACCCCCUACUACACAGCAGAAGCUCUGAAUUGUGUUCCUGAAUGAAAGAAGUCAGAGAUGAAAAGAUGGGCCAGGAGUCCAGUUUCUGGAAGGCCAAGAAUCGAAGUAGCAAGCUGCAGCCGUUUUCCAGACAAGCAGGAUGUGGGGUUGCAGAAGAAUUCAGGACUGGAGAGGCUAACUCCAUAAGCAGGGGCUGUCACGAUUCCCAUCUCCUUCAAUAAACCUCUCUCUUUUCAUAUUGUACUGUUCCAUGUUAUAUGUAACUGUUUUAAAGCUACAUACUGGACAAAAGGUG